rnacentral:lncRNA from 1 species
AACAAUUCAAGCUAGAUCCAUCCAUAGCCGAAGCCAGAUGUUAUUUGCCUUUGUUUGCGAGCGUCUCGCGUGUGUUCUCGUCCACAAGAAGAUUGAAGGUAAAAGCAUUAAAUUUACGUAAGGAAGCUUCGUUCCUCGUUUGUGCGGUGUGCAAAGAUUGCGCGCAAUUCCCGCUGUUCUCGGAGUGCCGAUGAAGUACGAGUCGUUCAAGGAAUCAACGAAAUGUGCGGGCGCUCGAAUGACUCCAUGGCUGACACCCGCGGCCACCUGCUACACGCCAGCGCGAAAGAAACUAAAGCACUGUGGAGGCUGCAGGGUGGCUUUGCCAGUAGGAAGGGCGGAAAUUCCUGAAGAUGUGUUCAUCCAUGUUGCAUCAGCUGCUUGGUGUUUUCAUGGCAUCUCUGCACACGUGUUGGGUUGAUCUUAAGCAGAAAACCAGAAGUGGCAGUGGUCUCCAGAAGAGACCAAGGACCCCAAGCUCUCUCUGACACAAGCAGGAAGGGCACUGUGGUGCAUUGAAAACUUGCUCCAGUAGUGCAUUGCCAGUGCACUAUGCUGCUGUUUCAUCAAGGAGAAAGGAGGUGACCAGCCCCAGAGGAACUUCAUGCUCUACAGUAUGCCUACGGAGAACACCUCAAGGCGCAUCCAAGCAACGUCCUGGAGGCACAGCGCCACCGGAAUCUCAAUCGCUAUUUGGGGGACCUGCUUAAAGUCCUUAAGAAAUGAUUCCAGUGUGAGGCUUUCAAAACGGCAUGAAUAUUAAUUUAUUUAUUAUAAAGUUUUCAUUUUUAAAUUCCUGUUGUUGCACAUUGUUUUGC